rnacentral:misc_RNA from 1 species
AUGAAAUCAGUGUGAUUCAUUGCAAUGAGAUCAGCUGUAAACUGGGACGAGAAAUGGUAUUUUUCAUCAAACUUUUUCCAGUAAAUGUCGGAAUCAGGAUAUUUCGUUUUCUCCAAGGCAUGGGCGAUGGUGCACUGCGUUACGCCUAACUUGUGAGCUAACAAAGAAGCAGCAAGAUUGCCCUCACUGUAGUUUCCGAUUAUCAAAUCUGGCUUGGCCUGCAAUUCUGCAGAUAUUUCUUUUGCAACAUCCUCAAUGAAAGUCUCCAUAUAUGGCCACACUUCAAAGCGAGAGAUCCAUUUGCGAACGAUACCCUUCUCAGUCCUAAAGGGGACUCUAAGAAUAUGUGAGUGUUCUGUUCCAUACACCUUCUCAAGCCUCUGACCGCAAGUGGUUCCAACUGCAUCGGGCAGCAGCCGAGUAACAAUAAGAAUACGGGGGAUGAUAUCAAGUCCUUGCUCCUUUAUGCGCUUAAGCAUUUCACGCUCCAAGGCGGGAACUUGAUCUAAUAUGUAGACAACCUGGCCACCGGUGUCGGGAUAACCCAAGACAUUUUCUUGGGCAAAAUAUCCAUGAGGGGAAAGGAUAACCACAUUGAAGACCAUCGGAAUUCUCCCCAAGAACUUCUCAAGAGUACAUGAGUCAGGUGCCUCAAGGAGAUCAAGAAGCAUGCACACCAUCUCUAGCACACGCUCCGCCGUGUCCCCCCAUCCCUUCUCCAAUCCGAUUUCUUGGAACUUGUGUUCGAAUUCAAAAAAUGGAGUUUCCGGGGGAAGCAUAAUGAGGUAUUCCUCUGCCUUCCUUAGGACAUUUUGAAGAGUAUUCGAAUUAUGUAUCCUAUCAUUCAGCAUCAUUGUCUUGCCCUUAUAAUGGUGAGCGCGGAGAAAUUCGAGAAGCGGGGCCAUGCUUUCCUUGUCAUGGAACAUUUUGGCAGAGAGGUGCCUAUUGAGGAAUUCAACUCCAUUUCCAAUAGAUUUGGUGAGGGUUGGUUUAGGAAAGGAUGCAGUGAAAGGCUCGAAAUCCAACUCGAGAACGAAAUUUCCAUUUGAGGCUCCGUCGACAAGUUCUUCCUUGAAUUGCAAAUACUCAGGGACGGACAGCUCCUCAACAACUAGUGCAUUGACGUUCACACGGACGUAUUCCCAGACACCAGGCCUCAAACGAAUAGCAAGUGCAACCCAAGGGGGCAGAACAAUCGCUUCCUGAGUGGAUUUCAGGAGUUCUUCGAACGCAUGUUCAUUCAGUUUGUCUUUGUCAUCUUGGCGAAUUGCAUCGAACUCAGCCAAAAGCUCGUGAGGUUUCAAGAUCCCUUUUCCGUGGCUUUCAAUCCUUGAAAGAAACAGCAGUAUCUCAUUGCGGUGAGCAGCUAAAGUUGCAUCAACACGUUCACGAAGUCUAUGAACACGAGUCAGAACACGUUCAGCCAUUAUAGUUGAUUCAGCAGAUGGGAAAUCCUCAGACAAAGUUCAACUUUGAGAGGAAAGAAAUGAAAAAAGAAAAAAUGGAGAAAAUGUUGAAAUGAGUGUAUGAAUGAAAGAAGCAAAUGAAAG